GACGAACGCUGGCGGCGUGCUUAACACAUGCAAGUCGAACGGAAAGGCCCUGCUUGCAGGGUACUCGAGUGGCGAACGGGUGAGUAACACGUGGGUGAUCUGCCCUGCACUUCGGGAUAAGCCUGGGAAACUGGGUCUAAUACCGGAUAGGAGCCAUUUUUAGUGUGAUGGUUGGAAAGUUUUUUCGGUGUAGGAUGAGCUCGCGGCCUAUCAGCUUGUUGGUGGGGUAAUGGCCUACCAAGGCGGCGACGGGUAGCCGGCCUGAGAGGGUGGACGGCCACAUUGGGACUGAGAGACGGCCCAGACUCCUACGGGAGGAAGAAGGGGGGAAUAGUGCACAAGGGGCGCAAGCCUGAUGCAGCGACGCCGCGGGGGGGAUGACGGCCUUCGGGUUGUAAACUCCUUUCGCUAGGGACGAAGCUUUUUGUGACGGUACCUAGAUAAGAAGCACCGGCUAACUACGUG
rnacentral:rRNA from 1 species